GACGAGCCUCACAAACGUUAUUCGGAAUUACUGGGCUUAAAGGGUGCGUAGGCGGCGCGGAAAGUUGGGUGUGAAAUCCCUCGGCUCAACCGAGGAACUGCGCCCAAAACUACCGUGCUCGAGGAAGAUAGAGGUGAGCGGAACUUACGGUGGAGCGGUGAAAUGCGUUGAUAUCGUAAGGAACACCCGUGGCGAAAGCGGCUCACUGGGUCUUUUCUGACGCUGAUGCACGAAAGCUAGGGGAGCAAACGGG
rnacentral:rRNA from 2 species